GGAGAGACCAUGUUAGGGUUUACCUUGCGUGCAGGAACGUAGUAUGGAACAUCGAACGAUUGAGACCAGUUACAUAUCCUUAUUGCUCUGACCGGGCGUAGGAGCGUUUCCUUUUCACCAUCGACGAAGCUGUCGUCACAGAUGUCGCUGUGUUCCACCCACAAGAAUCGACUGAAUACGUCUAUGACAACCAGCAGGAAUCGAAUAC